rnacentral:rRNA from 1 species
GACGAACGCUGGCGGCGUGCUUAACACAUGCAAGUCGAACGAUGAAGCCGGAGCUUGCUCCGGUGGAUUAGUGGCGAACGGGUGAGUAACACGUGAGCAAUCUGCCCUUGACUCUGGAAUCACUGCGGGAAACUGUAGCUAAUACCGGAUACGACACCUUGGGGCAUCCCAGGGUGUGGAAAGAAUUUCGGUCAAGGAUGAGCUCGCGGCCUAUCAGCUAGUUGGUGAGGUAAUGGCUCACCAAGGCGACGACGGGUAGCCGGCCUGAGAGGGUGACCGGCCACACUGGAACUGAGACACGGUCCAGACUCCUACGGGAGGCAGCAGUGGGGAAUAUUGCACAAUGGGCGAAAGCCUGAUGCAGCAACGCCGCUUGAGGGAUGAAGGCCUUCGGGUUGUAAACCUCUUUUAGCAGGGAAGAAGCGAAAGUGACGGUACCUGCAGAAAAAGCACCGGCUAACUACGUGCCAGCCGCCGCCGUAA